rnacentral:rRNA from 1 species
UAGGGAAUCUUCCGCAAUGGGCGAAAGCCUGACGGAGCAACGCCUCGUGAGUGAUGAAGGUCUUCGGAUCGUAAAACUCUGUUAUUAGGGAAGAACAAAUGUGUAAGUAACUAUGCACGUCUUGACGGUACCUAAUCAGAAAGCCACGGCUAACUACGUGCCAGCAGCCGCGGUAAUACGUAGGUGGCAAGCGUUAUCCGGAAUUAUUGGGCGUAAAGCGCGCGUAGGCGGUUUUUUAAGUCUGAUGUGAAAGCCCACGGCUCAACCGUGGAGGGUCAUUGGAAACUGGAAAACUUGAGUGCAGAAGAGGAAAGUGGAAUUCCAUGUGUAGCGGUGAAAUGCGCAGAGAUAUGGAGGAACACCAGUGGCGAAGGCGACUUUCUGGUCUGUAACUGACGCUGAUGUGCGAAAGCGUGGGGAUCAAACAGG